rnacentral:rRNA from 1 species
CGCGCAGGCGGUUUCGUUAGUCGGACGUGAAAGCUCCUGGCUUAACUAGGAGAGGUCGUUCGAUACUGCGGGACUUGAGGUUGGGAGAGGGGUGUGGAAUUCCAGGUGUAGUGGUGGAAUGCGUAGAUAUCUGGAGGAACACCAGUGGCGAAGGCGGCACCCUGGCCCACACCUGACGCUGAGGCGCGAAAGCGUGGGGAGCGAACA